AGGUGUUUAAAUAAUGUAUCUUUAGAAAUCAACUCCCUUUUGGGGUUAAAACGGGGGAUGGUAGGUUGACUUACUCAUCACGAAAUCUCCGAAACUAUAACAGCUACAAAUUUGAAAAUUGGCAAGUAGGUUCCUUAUAGGACAUAUACAUUUGCUAAGAAUGAAUUUUAUGAAACUCGACCCCUAAGGUGAUAAAACGGGGGUUGGAAGUUUGUAUGAAAGUCCUAUGUUUUUGAAGUAAGAGACUUGAAAUU
rnacentral:misc_RNA from 1 species